rnacentral:misc_RNA from 1 species
AAGACUAUAGACCUGCGGAGUACCUGCGGAAGGAUCAUUAUCGUGGAGCUCCGGCUCCUUCGAGGGAGAACCCUUGCCUUUUCGAGCACCUGUUUGUUUCCUCGGCAGGCCCGCCUGCCAAUGGGGACCCCUUAAACUCUUGCAACAACCUGUAUGAAAUCGUCUGAACAAAACAAACAAAUCAAAACUUUCAGCAAUGGAUCUCU